AUUGAACGCUGGCGGCAUGCUUUACGCAUGCAAGUCGAACGGUAACAGGUUAAGCUGACGAGUGGCGAACGGGUGAGUAAUGCAUCGGAACGUGCCCGGUCGUGGGGGAUAACGCAGCGAAAGCUGCGCUAAUACCGCAUACGCUCUGAGGAUGAAAGCGGGGGACCGUAAGGCCUCGCGCGAUCGCAGCGGCCGAUGUCCGGUUAGGUAGUUGGUGGGGUAAAGGCCCACCAAGCCAACGAUCUGUAGCUGGUCUGAGAGGACGACCGGCCACACUGGGACGGAGACACGGCGCAGACUCCUACGGGAGGCAGCAGUGGGGAAGUUUGGAACAUGGGCGAAAGCCUGAUCCAGCAAUGCCGCGUGCAGGAAGAAGGCCUUCGGGUUGUAAACUGCUUUUGUACGGAGCGAAAAGGUCUCCUCUAAUACAGGGGGCUCAUGACGGUACCGUAAGAAUAAGCACCGGCUAACUACGUGCCAGCCGCCGCCGUAA
rnacentral:rRNA from 1 species